rnacentral:rRNA from 1 species
GGAUUGUAGUCUGCAACUCGACUACAUGAAGCUGGAAUCGCUAGUAAUCGCGAAUCAGGAUGUCGCGGUGAAUACGUUCCCGGGUCUUGUACACACCGCCCGUCACACCAUGGGAGUCGGAAAUGCCCGAAGUCAGUGACCUAACCGAAAGGAGGGAGCUGCCGAAGGUGGAGCCGGUAACUGGGGUGAAGUCGUAACAAGGUAUC